rnacentral:rRNA from 1 species
AUUGAACGCUGGCGGCAUGCCUUACACAUGCAAGUCGAACGGCAGCACGGGUGCUUGCACCUGGUGGCGAGUGGCGAACGGGUGAGUAAUACAUCGGAACAUGUCCUGUAGUGGGGGAUAGCCCGGCGAAAGCCGGAUUAAUACCGCAUACGAUCUACGGAUGAAAGCGGGGGACCUUCGGGCCUCGCGCUAUAGGGUUGGCCGAUGGCUGAUUAGCUAGGUGGUGGGGUAAAGGCCUACCAAGGCGACGAUCAGUAGCUGGUCUGAGAGGACGACCAGCCACACUGGGACUGAGACACGGCCCAGACUCCUACGGGAGGCAGCAGUGGGGAAUUUUGGACAAUGGGCGAAAGCCUGAUCCAGCAAUGCCGCGUGUGUGAAGAAGGCCUUCGGGUUGUAAAGCACUUUUGUCCGGAAAGAAAUCCUUGGCCCUAAUACGGUCGGGGGAUGACGGUACCGGAAGAAUAAGCACCGGCUAACUACGUG